GGGAUUAUAGGUGUGAACCACUGCACCUGGCCAGUAGCUAUUUUUCAUGACCAUUAUGGUGCCCAUCUUGGCACUCUGCCUCUAACUUAGCCAUGGGACCUGGGGAGAGCCCCUUUCCCUCUCUGAGCCUCAGUUUCCUCAGCUGUAAAAUGACAGAGUUGGACUGGGUCAGUAGCAGCAGUUCCCAACUUUCCCACCUUCAAAGCCUUUUUUAGUCUUUUUCCCUCUGCCUCCACACUAUCCAGAAUCUGGUGGGACAGUAACACUUUGCAUUGUUUUUCAUCUUUUCCUUGGUGUUCUCCCUCCUUCUCUUACACAGAUAAGUUACUCUGUAUUCAUUACUUCGGGAAACAAAUGAUACAACAGAAUGCAGGGCCUAUUUUUAGCUUCUGAAUUCCAAAAGCUUAGCUUUCAGGGAGGAAUGGACAGAAUUUCUGUGCAGACACACAUUUAGAAAACUAUAACGGGGAUCUGGGAGUCUGAGAUUGAGGAGGGGGGUCCCUGAGAAGAGAGAAGCUUCUCCUCAGUCUUGUAACUGGGAAUAUCAUCUGGGUCCAAGGGAUUGAGAAGCAGAGAGGAGCUGUGCUCCUUUUCCUGGGUGGGGCACCAGGGAAGUCACAAAACCCUCUGGAGAAAUGGCUGCAUGCUGCAUUUUGGACAAACAGGGCCUAACUCACCUAAGACUCAAGAAUUUCCUAGGCCUAACAUGGCCUGGGGAAAGCAGAAAAACAAAACAAAACAAAACAAAACUCUGCACACCUGAGAGGGGUAUGGGUUACACUUGGAGGGGUCUUUUGGUGGGGGGAUGGGGAGCAACUCAGCAGCAACCUUCAUGGGCUGAUGACAAAAGGUCACAACCAGAUGAGAACAUCUCAGUGGAUGCUAGUGUGACUGGAUGACCAAAUCAGACUAUGCUUCCCAUGCUUUGGCACCUUGAAAGGAAGAGCCCUAGAAUUCCAACAGAAUGCCAAGGAAAAUGGGGGAACUGUGAAUUGACCGCAAUUAACUUUCUGCCACUCUGGCUGAGUAGGGCAAAAUACAGGAAUUCAAGUGAGUUAAAGAAAAUUCAAGUUCUGUUUCUUGCACACCAGAAACUGGAACCAGCUACACUCUGUCCACAGUGUUACUAUUAUUGUCCCAAAUCCCCAAGCUUUCCCAUCCCAGGACCUUUGCACAGGCAGUUUCCUCUGCCUUGUCCUGGCUUUUUAAAUGACAGGCUUCUUCUCAGUUUAACUACUUUCCUGCUGGGUGGGGUGGCUCAAGCCCUUAAUCCCAGUGACUGGGGCCAAGGCAGGAGGAUUGCUUGAGGCCAGAAGUUUGAGACCAGCCUGGACAACAUAGUGAUACCCUGUCUCUUAGGGAAAAAAAAAAAAGUUACGAAAUUAAGACACCACAGGUGUGUGGUGGCAUGCACCUGUAGUUCCAGCUACUUGGAAGGCUGAGGCUUGAGCCCAGGAGUUCAAAGCUGCAGUGAGCCAUGAUCGCACCACUGCUCUCUUGCCUGGGCAACAGAGCAAGACUCCCUGUCUAAAAAAAAAAGAUUUCACUUCCUCAGACUACAUUUUCCAAAAUAAAACUACCUGUUAUUGUCUCUCAAAAGGCCCUGUUUAUUUCCUUCAGGGCACCUGUAAAUAUUUUUACUUUUUUAGUUUAUCUGUUUCCCUCACUAGAAUGUUCACUUCCUGAGGCAAGACCCUUGUUCAUCUUGAUGUUCCCCAGUUGCUACCACUGUGCCUGGUACAUAGCUGGUGCUCAAGAAUGACCUGUGGAAUGGCUGACCAGUGGCAGUUGGGGAGUUCCUGGCUUCCCACAGGCUGGUGGGCACUGGGCUCUCUCAACCCCUUCCUG
rnacentral:lncRNA from 10 species